GGAAGUGUGCCCGAAAAACCUAAGGACUACCCUGAUAAGGUAAACACAGAGACGCGCCUCUCUCUCUUCCC
rnacentral:tRNA from 1 species